rfam:Zea mays cultivar B73 chromosome 4, whole genome shotgun sequence.
ACUCUCUUAUUCACCUCAAUCCACAUGUAUUGAGGUGGAUUGGACUGGAACUUAAACUAAUCUAUACCCCAAUCCACUUCAAUACAUGUGGAUUGAGGUAAAUACGAGA